UACGUAGGGGGCUAGCGUUGUCCGGAUUUAUUGGGCGUAAAGAGCGUGUAGGCGGCCAGGUAGGUCUGGUGUGAAAACUCGAGGCUUAACCUCGAGAUGUCAUCGGAAACCAUCUGGCUAGAGUCCGGAAGAGGAGAGUGGAACUGCGAGUGUAGAGGUGAAAUUCGUAGAUAUUCGCAAGAACACCAGUGGCGAAGGCGGCUCACUGGCCCGGUACUGACGCUGAGGUGCGAAAGCGUGGGGAGCAAACAGG
rnacentral:rRNA from 1 species